rnacentral:rRNA from 1 species
GGGAUCACAUGGUUCUGGGGUAAAAGAUUUAUCGGUUUGGGGUGGGCUCGCGUCCGAUUAGGUAGUUGGUGAGGUAACGGCCCACCAAGCCGACGAUCGGUAGCCGACCUGAGAGGGUGAUCGGCCACAUUGGGACUGAGACACGGCCCAAACUCCUACGGGAGGCAGCAGUGGGAAUAUUGGGCAAUGGAGGAAACUCUGACCCAGCAACGCCGCGUGGAGGAAGAAGGUUUUCGGAUCGUAAACUCCUGUCCUUGGAGACGAGUAGAAGACGGUAUCCAAGGAGGAAGCCCCGGCUAACUACGUGCCAGCAGCCGCGGUAAUACGUAGGGGGCAAGCGUUGUCCGGAAUAAUUGGGCGUAAAGGGCGCGUAGGCGGCUCGGUAAGUCUGGAGUGAAAGUCCUGCUUUUAAGGUGGGAAUUGCUUUGGAUACUGUCGGGCUUGAGUGCAGGAGAGGUUAGUGGAAUUCCCAGUGUAGCGGUGAAAUGCGUAGAGAUUGGGAGGAACACCAGUGGCGAAGGCGACUAACUGGACUGUAACUGACGCUGAGGCGCGAAAGUGUGGGGAGCAAACAGGAUUAGAUACCCUGGUAGUCCACACUGUAAACGAUGAAUGCUAGGUGUAGGGGGUAUCGACCCCUUCUGUGCCGCAGUCAACACAAUAAGCAUUCCGCCUGGGGAGUACGGCCGCAAGGUUGAAACUCAAAGGAAUUGACGGGGGCCCGCACAAGCAGCGGAGCAUGUGGUUUAAUUCGACGCAACGCGAAGAACCUUACCAGGUCUUGACAUCCACUUAAACUUACAGAGAUGUAAGGUGUGCUUGCACAAAGUGAGACAGGUGGUGCAUGGUUGUCGUCAGCUCGUGUCGUGAGAUGUUGGGUUAAGUCCCGCAACGAGCGCAACCCUUAUCUUCAGUUACUAACGCGUGAGGGUGAGGACUCUGAAGAGACUGCCGGGGACAACUCGGAGGAAGGUGGGGACGACGUCAAAUCAUCAUGCCCCUUAUGACCUGGGCUACACACGUGCUACAAUGGCCACGACAGAGAGAAGCGAAAUCGCAAGGUAGAGCGGAACUCAAAAAAGUGGUCCCAGUUCGGAUUGUGGGCUGCAACCCGCCCACAUGAAGUCGGAGUUGCUAGUAAUCGCGGAUCAGCAUGCCGCGGUGAAUACGUUCCCGGGCCUUGUACACACCGCCCGUCACACCAUGGGAGUUGGGAGUGCCCAAAGCCGGUGAGGCAACCGCAAGGAGCCAGCCGUCUAAGGCAAGACCAAUGACUGGGGUGAAGUCGUAACAAGGUA